rnacentral:rRNA from 1 species
CCUACGGGAGGCAGCAGUCGAGAAUCAUUCACAAUGGGGGAAACCCUGAUGGUGCGACGCCGCGUGGGGGAAUGAAGGUCUUCGGAUUGUAAACCCCUGUCAUGUGGGAGCAAAUUAAAAAGAUAGUACCACAAGAGGAAGAGACGGCUAACUCUGUGCCAGCAGCCGCGGUAAUACAGAGGUCUCAAGCGUUGUUCGGAAUCACUGGGCGUAAGGCGUGCGUAGGCUGUUUCGUAAGUCGUGUGUGAAAGGCGCGGGCUCAACCCGCGGACGGCACAUGAUACUGCGAGACUAGAGUAAUGGAGGGGGAACCGGAAUGCUCGGUGUAGCAGUGAAAUGCGUAGAUAUCGAGAGGAACACUCGUGGCGAAGGCGGGUUCCUGGACAUUAACUGACGCUGAGGCACGAAGGCCAGGGGAGCGAAAGGGAUUAGAUACCCUAGUAGUC